GAGAAGAACGUAGCGAAAUGCGAUAAGUAAUGUGAAUUGCAGAAUUCAGUGAAUCAUCGAAUCUUUGAACGCACAUUGCGCCCGCCAGUAUUCUGGCGGGCAUGCCUGUUCGAGCGUCAUUUCAACCAUCAAGCCCCCGGCUUGUGUUGGGGACCUGCGGCUGCCGCAGGCCCUGAAAAGCAGUGGCGGGCUCGCUGUCACACCGAGCGUAGUAGCAUACAUCUCGCUCUGGGCGUGCUGCGGGUUCCGGCCGUUAAACCACCUUCAUAACCCAAGGUUGACCUCGGAUCAGGUAGGAAGACCCGCUGAACUUAAGCAUAUCAAUAAGCGGAGGA
rnacentral:misc_RNA from 1 species